rnacentral:lncRNA from 1 species
GUUGGGCCCUGUCGACCUGUAGGCGGGCGAGCGAGCCAGCGGACAAGACUGCGGGUGAGGCUGAGCUAGCGAGCGGCCGGCAGGGGGGGCGCCCGGGCUGCGAGCCGCUGAGCCCAGCCGCGCUGCCGCCGCCGGCCGUCGUGGGGCCGGAAUGGCGCAAGGCCGGAGUGGCGCGGGCGCUCGGCGCUGGGCUGCCGGGUAGAGUCCUGUCCCCGCCCCUCGCCUUGCGGCCUGACGCCGGCCGCUGCUGCCCGGGGACCGGAGCGGCGGGCCGCCUUUGCCCAGGACACACGCUCUGGCGUUUGUUCCUUUGGGCGUGACGCCAGCUUCAACGGGUACAAAACUCAAAACAUGAACAACAAUAUAUAUUACCAAUCUUCAAACCUGGUUUGCCUAGAACUGGAAUACAGUUGCCUGCGACAUAUUUUAGAAGAACUAGAAAAGUCAAAGUAAUGGAUAACAGAAAAGAGCCUCCAUUCUUCAAUGAUGAUAACAUGGGACCAUUUUACUACAGACUUCAUUUCUGUGAUACCAUGGAGCUCUUCAUUGAAACAUUAACUGGAACAUGUUUUGAGCUGAGAGUUUCACCUUUUGAAACUGUUAUUUCUGUGAAAGCAAAAAUUCGAAGAUUGGAAGGUAUUCCCAUCUGUCGACAACACUUAAUUUGGAAUAACAUGGAACUUGAAAAUGAUUAUUGCUUGAAUGAUUACAACAUUUCAGAAGGGUGUACCUUGAAGCUAGUUUUGGCUAUGCGUGGCGGACCUAUAAAUACUAGAAGAGUUCCUACAGACGAUCCACUUAGGAAGAUGGCAGAGUACUUGGAUUCCAGUCGAGUUGAGGUCUGGGAGAAGACCUCCUGCAGCAAACAAGUUACAUUUUUGGUAUACCAAGAAGGAGAUCAAUUGAAUUUCUUUCCUGCAGUAGAUAGGGGAGAUGGCACUUUAACACCGUUAUCUGACUCUUCAAAGAAAAUAGAUUUUCAUUUGCAUGUCCUACGGAGAAAAGGAGAACAUCGUAUGAGUGGUGGUUCUAUGUAUAAUUCAGAUACAGAUGAGGAUGAAGAAACUGAGCCUUCUUCUUCUGGGCAACAGAUAAUUGAAAAUUCAAUAACUAUGAAUAAGAUGAAGCUGCUGAAGGCUAAGAUGAAGAACAUGAAUCUCAGCAAAAAGGUGAAGCUGUUGGCAUUUGACCAGGCUUAUCUCUAGCUUACCCCUGCAGAGCACUCAGCAAUGAGGUCUGUUGGUCAUUGUG